UUCUUCUCCACCUACAAAGAUAUAUAGAAUCAUCUUACAUAUUUUCAUGUUGAUACCUAAUUUUCAUAUCCAUACUGUUGGGGCGAGCUAAAACUACAAGGCCUCACAGUGCAUAGGGGCAUACAAUAAAGUUUUCAGGUUGACCUUUCCAACAAGUAUUAACAUAAUCAGUGGCAGGGCGCCCAUGAUCAUCCGUGAUUUGCAUUGAAGUGAGAUAAGAAUCGGGAGAGGAAGGAAAGAGAGGAGGAAGCAUAAUCUUGGGAGUAAGGAAGAUGCUGACAGCUUCUGCAUCCACAAAGUCCAUGUUCAGAAAAGGCAAAAACUAAUCCUUGAGCAAGCUUACUCCUGCAAAUGUUGACCAUCAAACAAUCCUCUUCAUGCCCUGUUGAAAAUAAUUUCUCCACCCAAUGGCAUCUAUCGAGAGCAGGUUGGGCGGUAGCUUGGCAGCCGGAGCAGGCUUCUAUACCUCGGCGUUCUAGGCCGCCGCGGCCAGGAGCUGCGUCGGGCAGGCUGGCGUCGUCGCUGAGGUUGGACACCGGCGGCAGUGUCGAUACAGGGGAGACCGGAAGCGUUGGUGGCAGCGCGAGGUCGUAUCGGAGGUGGAGGCUGCGGGGCGAGCCGUGGUGUGGAGAGGAUGCCGAGGGCGAGCCGUGGUGAGGAGAGGAGGCGGCAGGGAGAAGCGACAUGUGCGAGGCUGUGAGGUGGGCAGAGUGGAUGCUGUGCGGUGAGAGGACUGGAUUUUUUCUGAUAACUAAUGCUUCUUUAUUUUUUUUUCUUGAGAAACACAUCUUUAUUAUUUCUAUAAGUGUGGCUA